rnacentral:rRNA from 1 species
UGCGCAGGCGGAUGGAUGUGUCAGGUGUGAAAUCUCGGGGCUCAACCUCGAAACUGCGCCUGAAACUGUUCAUCUAGAGUAUUGGAGAGGUAAGCGGAAUUUCCGGAGUAGCGGUGAAAUGCGUAGAUAUCGGAAGGAACACCAAUGGCGAAGGCAGCUUACUGGACAAUAACUGACGCUCAGGCACGAAAGCAGUGGGUAGCGAAAG